UACGGAGGGUGCAAGCGUUAUCCGGAUUUAUUGGGUUUAAAGGGUCCGCAGGCGGAUCGUUAAGUCAGCGGUGAAAGCCCUCAGCUCAACUGAGGAACUGCCGUUGAUACUGGCGAUCUUGAGUGCGAGUGAAGUUGGCGGAAUGUGUGGUGUAGCGGUGAAAUGCUUAGAUAUCACACAGAACACCUAUUGCGAAGGCAGCUGACUAACUCGAUACUGACGCUCAGGGACGAAAGUGUGGGGAUCAAAC
rnacentral:rRNA from 1 species